rnacentral:rRNA from 1 species
AUUGAACGCUGGCGGCAUGCCUUACACAUGCAAGUCGAACGGCAGCACGGGUGCUUGCACCUGGUGGCGAGUGGCGAACGGGUGAGUAAUACAUCGGAACGUACCUUAUCGUGGGGGAUAACGCAGCGAAAGCUGUGCUAAUACCGCAUACGCCCUGAGGGGGAAAGCGGGGGAUCGAAAGACCUCGCGCGAUUAGAGCGGCCGAUGCCUGAUUAGCUUGUUGGUGGGGUAAAAGCCCACCAAGGCGACGAUCAGUAGCUGGUCUGAGAGGACGAUCAGCCAAACUGGGACUGAGACACGGCCCAGACUCCUACGGGAGGCAGCAGUGGGGAAUUUUGGACAAUGGGGGCAACCCUGAUCCAGCAAUGCCGCGUGAGUGAAGAAGGCCUUCGGGUUGUAAAGCACUUUUGUCAGGGAAGAAACACCGGCUCUAACACAGUCCGGGAAUGACGGUACCUGAAGAAUAAGCACCGGCUAACUACGUGCCAGCCGCCGCGGUAA